GCCCUAGUAGCUCAGCAGACAGAGCGC
rnacentral:tRNA from 1 species